AUGUUACUGGUUGCUCAAAAUUGUUGGUGUCAAUCAUUGAUUCAGUCAGAAUCUGUGAUCAUUGAACCUGGAAAAUCACACACAUUGACCUGUACAGCCUCUGGGUUAGACUUCGAUAACUAUUGGAUGGGCUGGAACAGACAAACAUCAGGAAAAGGGCUGGAAUGGGUUGCAGCAAUCAGCAGCUCCCAGACUAAAUAUUACUCCAGUGCUGUUGAAGGAAGGUUCACCAUCUCCAGAGACAACAGUAAGAAACAGGUGUAUCUGCAUAUGGGCAGUUUAAAGAAGGAAGACACUGCUGUGUAUUACUGUGCCAGAGAGCCACAGUGA